GAUGAACGCUGGCGGCGUGCUUAACACAUGCAAGUCGAACGAUGAAGCCCAGCUUGCUGGGUGGAUUAGUGGCGAACGGGUGAGUAACACGUGAGUAACCUGCCCUUAACUCUGGGAUAAGCCUGGGAAACUGGGUCUAAUACCGGAUAGGAGCGUCCACCGCAUGGUGGGUGUUGGAAAGAUUUAUCGGUUUUGGAUGGACUCGCGGCCUAUCAGCUUGUUGGUGAGGUAAUGGCUCACCAAGGCGACGACGGGUAGCCGGCCUGAGAGGGUGACCGGCCACACUGGGACUGAGACACGGCCCAGACUCCUACGUGAGGCAGCAGUGGGGAAUAUUGCACAAUGGGCGAAAGCCUGAUGCAGCGACGCCGCGUGAGGGAUGACGGCCUUCGGGUUGUAAACCUCUUUCAGUAGGGAAGAAGCGAAAGUGACGGUACCUGCAGAAGAAGCACCGGCUAACUACGUG
rnacentral:rRNA from 1 species